AAGCCAGUGCUGCGGUUCAGGGAAGGCAAGAGACGUGGGACAGCUGGGCGCGGCUCUGGGCGGAUUCUUUACCAGCUGAGCCACCAGGGAAGCCCAAGAAUACUGGAGUGGGCAGCCUAUCCCUUCUGCAGGGGGUCUGAACCGGGAUCUCCUGCAUCGCAGGCGGAUUCUUUACCAGCUGAGCCGCUGUAACUGUAAGUGUAACGAUGAAGAAACAAAAUCAUCUCCAGACACCAUGGACCACAGCCGUAAUUCUGCCACCGACUUUCUGCUUGACCUUGGAUAAGACACCGGGUUUCUUGGCCUGAAUUUCUUCAUCUGCAACAUGAGGAGUUUGAACUCAAAGAUAUUAUAUCUUAGGCCCCAUUUGGUAAAUAAAAUCCUCUGAC
ensembl:lncRNA